rnacentral:ribozyme from 1 species
UCCCACUGCUGGUUCACCUUCCCCGACCAACGUAACAUCCCGAAUGUCGAUGCCAACGAGGA